rnacentral:rRNA from 1 species
CAUUACGAAAUUCGGCGCGCUUCGGCGCUGCCUUAUUCACCCACCCUUUGUCUACGUGUACCUCUAUAGCUUCCUCGGCGGGCUCGCCCGCCGCCAGGAACCCACGAAACCCCUUGCAUUAUACACGAAAACUUCUGAUAACAAACCUAAAUUAUUACAACUUUCAACAAUGGAUCUCUUGGUUCUGGCAUCGAUGAAGAACGCAGCGAAAUGCGAUAAGUAGUGUGAAUUGCAGAAUUCAGUGAAUCAUCGAAUCUUUGAACGCACAUUGCGGCCAUAGGUAUUCCUUUGGCCAUGCCUGUUCGAGCGUCAUUUACACCCUCAAGCCUAGCUUGGUGUUGGGCGUCUGUCCCGCCGAUUUCGCGCGCGGACUCGCCUCAAAGUCAUUGGCGGCGGUCGUGCCGGCUCCUCGCGCAGCACAUUUGCGCUUCUCGGAGGCCCGGCGGAUCCGCGCUCCAGCAAAGACCUUUCAUGACUUGACCUCGGAUCAGGUAGGGAUACCCGCUGAACUUAAGCAUAUCGGCGAGUGAAGCGGCAACAGCUCAAAUUUGAAAUCUGGCCCCUUUGGGGUCCGAGUUGUAAUUUGCAGAGGGUGCUUUGGCGUUGGCGGCGGUCUAAGUUCCUUGGAACAGGACAUCGCAGAGGGUGAGAAUCCCGUAUGUGGUCGCCUGCCUUCGCCGUGUAAAGCCCCUUCGACGAGUCGAGUUGUUUGGGAAUGCAGCUCUAAAUGGGAGGUAAAUUUCUUCUAAAGCUAAAUACCGGCCAGAGACCGAUAGCGCACAAGUAGAGUGAUCGAAAGAUGAAAAGCACUUUGGAAAGAGAGUCAAACAGCACGUGAAAUUGUUGAAAGGGAAGCGCUUGCAGCCAGACUUGCCUGUAGUUGCUCACCCGGGCUCCUGCCCGGGGCACUCUUCUGCAGGCAGGCCAGCAUCAGUUUGGGCGGUUGGAUAAAGGGCUCUGACACGUACUUCCCCUCGGGGUUGACAUACAGGGGAGCCGCAAUGCGACCAGCCCGGACUGAGGUCCGCGCAUCUGCUAGGAUGCUGGCGUAAUGGCUGUAAGCGGCCCGUCUUG